rnacentral:rRNA from 1 species
GAUGAACGCUGGCGGCGUGCCUAAUACAUGCAAGUCGAGCGAACAGACGAGGAGCUUGCUCCUCUGACGUUAGCGGCGGACGGGUGAGUAACACGUGGAUAACCUACCUAUAAGACUGGGAUAACUUCGGGAAACCGGAGCUAAUACCGGAUAAUAUAUUGAACCGCAUGGUUCAAUAGUGAAAGACGGUUUUGCUGUCACUUAUAGAUGGAUCCGCGCCGCAUUAGCUAGUUGGUAAGGUAACGGCUUACCCAGGCAACGAUGCGUAGCCGACCUGAGAGGGUCAUCGGCCACACUGGAACUGAGACACGGUCCAGACUCCUACGGGAGGCAGCAGUAGGGAAUCUUCCGCAAUGGGCGAAAGCUUGACGGAGCAACGCCGCGUGAGUGCUGAAGGUCUUCGGAUCGUAAAACUCUGUUAUUAGGGAAGAACAAAUGUGUAAGUAACUAUGCACGUAUUGACGGUACCUAAUCAGAAAGCCACGGCUAACUACGUG